UUGGUGCCUGUAAUCCCAGCAGUGUGGGAGGCUCUGGUGGGAGGACCACUCGAGCCCAGGAGGCUGAGGCUGCAGUGAGCCACGAUAGCGGCACUGCACUGCAGCCUGGGCGACAGAGCGAGAUCCUGACUCAAAAAAAAAAAAAAAAAGAAAAGAAAAGAAAAAGAAAAGAAAAAAGAAGAAAACACUUAAAGGAUGACAUCAUUUUCGGGCGUUUCGUCCUUUGGGAUUUGCCGUUUUCAGGAUUUCACACCGUAGGGAUGUUGAUCUCUUGUGACUUCAACACUCCGGGUUCUGCUCUUCAAGACUCUGGCUGAGGUCUGUUUCAAACAGAGCCCAAACACGCAGAUCUGUCGUCAUCUAGGUCCCGUCUGCCCUGUGUGCCCUGUGAAAUGGUGCCAAACAUCCGCUAGCCACAGAAAAACCGACACCUGAGAGCUGUCGGUCCCCCAGCCCCGGCUGCCCUUCAGACGGUACCGACCGCGGCUCCCGCCGGGCUGCUGAGUGUGUCACUGUCGCCCAGCACACGAGCCCCUCUCCGAUCCCCCGAGUUCCUCACCGAGUCCCUUACCCCCGGAAGUCCCUCGCUCUCCUCCCUUCCCCCCGGAAGUCCCUCGCUCUCCUC
rnacentral:lncRNA from 10 species